rnacentral:lncRNA from 1 species
AGUAAUUACGCUGUUCCUGCUGACAAUGUCAGUGAUGAGUAUUUCCUGCACCUACAAUGUGAACACAGGCCAGGCACCUGCUAAACGUCAUAUAUACCUGAUUAUAAAGUCCUGUGAGCUGAGUACUAUAAUCCCUAUUUUCCAGGUGAGAAAACCAAGGCUCAGACAGAGUAACUUUACCCAGCCCACACAGCUGAUCCAUCUUCGGUUGUGAAUCCGGCCCGGAAUGCAGCCACCCCUUAGAGCAACCCCCCUUGCUGCUCGUGCCCUGCUGUGCUACUGCCUCAGUCACUUCCUGCUUGGUCAAGACCACAGCUGCUGAUGUCACAGCUGAGGCACAUCAGAAAGGCUGCCUGAUUCAAAGAAAGCUGCCGGAUAAAUCAUAGAGCACAGACACUUCUACCUCAUGCUCUUAUGGGACUUUAGGAACCAAACAUAAGCACCUAUGGAAAAUGCACGGCGGUCUUGAAAGGCUGUGGUCUUUAUCAGAAAAUAUCUGAAUGACUGUUUGUUAUGUCAGUCCUACUCUGCAGGCUUGCUAAGAUGAUGAUUGAAAGGGCUCUUGGUUUCUGCUUUGGAAUCUGGCAUUUAUGUUUUGAAGCGUUGUGAGCAAGCGAUGUGGCAGAUUGCAGGGUGAGGGGGACAAACCUGGGCCAGGAGCCAGGGGUUUCUCUACCCCCUUCCCUGACUUACAGCUGGAACUGGGCUCAGUGGUUUCAGCCUCAUUUGCUAAGAAGGUCUGGGUAUGUAAUCCUGGCUGCAUCUUAAAAUCCCUAGGAGCUUUUAAGACAUAUUGACACAUAAGCUCUAACUCACAUGAAACGAAAACACAUCUCUGGGGCUGGGCUGAGCAAAUGCAUUUUUUAAAAGGCCCCUCAGGUGAUUCUGUCUCAGAGAUGUUGAAAACCAGUGGGUUAGGAGCUCAGUCAUCCACUUUCAGAUCUGUGAUUAUGCCACUAUUAAAUACAGUUGGCUAUCACAUAGAUUUUAUGCUUUAGCUUGUUCUUUUUUCCUUUGCUAUACCAAAUAAAAUCUUCUGAGCUGUAGUUCCA